rnacentral:rRNA from 1 species
GCGACAGGCCUAACACAUGCAAGUCGAGGGGCAGCACAAGGAGCAAUCUGAGGUGGCGACCGGCGCACGGGUGAGUAACACGUAUGCAACCUGCCUGUAAGCGGGGAAUAACCCGUUGAAAGACGGACUAAUACCGCAUAAUACUAAAUUACUGCAUGGUAAUUUAUUUAAACAUUUAUGGCUUACAGAUGGGCAUGCGCAUGAUUAGCUAGUUGGAGAGGUAACGGCUCCCCAAGGCAACGAUCAUUAGGGGUUCUGAGAGGAAGGUCCCCCACACUGGUACUGAGACACGGACCAGACUCCUACGGGAGGCAGCAGUGAGGAAUAUUGGUCAAUGGACGAGAGUCUGAACCAGCCAAGUCGCGUGCAGGAAGAAUGUUCCCUAUGGAUUGUAAACUGCUUUUGCAGGGGAAUAAAGUGCAUCACGUGUGAUGUUUUGUAUGUACUCUGCGAAUAAGGAUCGGCUAACUCCGUGCCAGCCGCCGC